rnacentral:lncRNA from 1 species
UAAAAAUCUCAGCUGCUCCUGGAAACUUAGAAGAUUGAUUGCGUGCCCGGAGAGAGACAGAAAGACAUGCCACAAGCCUUUACGUUAUAGGGCAAAACCAUUUGAAACAACAGUAGUAAGGGAAGGUGGUUUGUACUACUCACAGUCUUCAAAUUCAGAUGGUGAUGCAAUGACAUCUCAUUUGAUUUUAAGGCCUAAUUAUAAAUGUAAGUAUAAAAUAAAAUAUUGGGAUUAAUAAAGAUCACAUCUGCAAACAUCUUCAACAAUAAAUAUGAA